UUUGUUUUGAGUAUUACUAUG
rnacentral:piRNA from 1 species